rnacentral:rRNA from 1 species
CAUGGUCUUAGCUUGCUAAGGCCGAUGGCGACCGGCGCACGGGUGAGUAACGCGUAUCCAACCUGCCUUACACUCUUGGACAGCCUUCUGAAAGGGAGAUUAAUACAAGAUGUUAUCAUGAGUAAGCAUUUUCGCAUGAUUAAAGGUUUACCGGUGUAAGAUGGGGAUGCGUUCCAUUAGAUAGUAGGCGGGGUAACGGCCCACCUAGUCUUCGAUGGAUAGGGGUUCUGAGAGGAAGGUCCCCCACAUUGGAACUGAGACACGGUCCAAACUCCUACGGGAGGCAGCAGUGAGGAAUAUUGGUCAAUGGGCGAUGGCCUGAACCAGCCAAGUAGCGUGAAGGAUGACUGCCCUAUGGGUUGUAAACUUCUUUUAUAAAGGAAUAAAGUCGGGUAUGCAUACCCGUUUGCAUGUACUUUAUGAAUAAGGAUCGGCUAACUCCGUGCCAGCAGCCGCGGUAAUACGGAGGAUCCGAGCGUUAUCCGGAUUUAUUGGGUUUAAAGGGAGCGUAGAUGGAUGUUUAAGUCAGUUGUGAAAGUUUGCGGCUCAACCGUAAAAUUGCAGUUGAUACUGGAUGUCUUGAGUGCAGUUGAGGCAGGCGGAAUUCGUGGUGUAGCGGUGAAAUGCUUAGAUAUCACGAAGAACUCCGAUUGCGAAGGCAGCCUGCUAAGCUGCAACUGACAUUGAGGCUCGAAAGUGUGGGUAUCAAACAGG